UACGGGGGGGGCAAGCGUUGUUCGGAAUUACUGGGCGUAAAGGGCUUGUAGGUGGCCAACUAAGUCAGACGUGAAAUCCCUCAGCUUAACUGGGGAACUGCGUCUGAUACUGGAUGGCUUGAGUUUGGGAGAGGGAUGCGGAAUUCCAGGUGUAGCGGUGAAAUGCGUAGAUAUCUGGAGGAACACCGGUGGCGAAGGCGGCCUGCUGGGCAGUUGCUGACACUGAGGCGCGACAGCGUGGGGAGCAAACAGG
rnacentral:rRNA from 1 species